GAGAAAAAUAAGGCCACAGUUGAGAAUUUUGUGCUGGAUGGAGACAUCAAUCCCAGAAAUGCUGGACUGGCUGAGCAACUUGAGUAAAGCCCAUCUUCCCUUUUGUCAUGCAGGCCCUGGGAACUGCUUUAGGAAUGAGAAAAAUGAACAUAAAAUGGUCUAAUCAGUAUGUAAAUUAUUAUCUGGCUUACAGUUUCAUAGACUAACGGAGUUAUUGGGGGAGAUUGCUUUUAUCUUCAAUGUGACUUCAAGUCUAUCUUUUUAUACUUUAUUUGCAUUUAUUAGUGUUUAAUCCCACAGAAUUAUCCUAUUCACCUAUUUUAAGUGUUCUAAUUCCGGCACACAAUUCCUCUACCUACACGUUCUAAAUAUAUAAUUGUAGGUUGAAAGAAUGGUUUUAUUCAUUCAACCCUAAGCAUUCAGUGGUUGCUACAUUCUUCAAGUUAUGUUUUCUCAGUUCCUUAUGUUGGUUAACUUCUAACUGAUUAGACUGAGAAGUAGAAUUUCCAUCACAGUAGUACUCAUGCUGAGUAGUCACUGCUUAUUGAUUUGUCUGGUGGAAAACCUGAAGGUAGGACCUGUAUCAGUCAGGGUCUUAGCAGGGAACCACUGUUUAAUCAAGUUAGAGCUUAAUGGGAGAUAAUUUAAUAAUUUUUUUCCAGAGGUACAGGCAGGGUUAAUCACUCCAAUAAGGGAUGUUGAAGUAUCCAGGGUUUCGCUACAGUGGGAAGCUAUUAUCUCCCCUAGGCCUGAAGGUCGAUGACAAGGAAGUUAUUAGAAUCUGGCAAGUGAUGGAAUGGAGCUAUAGCCAAGGGGCUGCCUGAGAGGGGCAGUGGCCAAAUGUGAUUGAGAAUUGCUGGUGAAAUGAUUCACCAACCACAGGCAGAGGCUGACCAUCAUAGGCCUCAUUUCAAUAACUUAUGUUUCAUUAAUGAGUCAUCAUCAAUUUCUCUUUCAUUUUGAUAGCCCCCUAUUAGGCUUCAGAUUUUGAGGUAACUCUUCUACUAGACAUUUUAAAGUAGUAACUACUUAAAUCUUACUCUAAAAUCUCACAUUUUAAAGUAGUAACUGUUUUUCUCAUUGCUAUUAACCAAAACCACACAUUAAUGCUGAGCUUCUGUUAAGUAAAAAAUAACUAGGGAUACCAGACUGAGUUUUUACAGCUCAUUCAAAAGAAAAGCAAUUUGACAUACUUGUUACCGUUUGCAGGCUUAGCAAGAGAAAGACAUGUGCUUGUUUAUCGUCUAAACUAGCACUUUGCCCCUGAUACUUCUCAAAGCUGAAGGACCCUCUAAGAUCAAGAACCGAUGAAACGGUGUAUUCAUCUCUUCUGACACUAUGAAGAAAUACCCGAGACUGUGUAAUUUAUAAAGGAAAGAGGUUUAAUUGACUCACAGUUCUGCAUUGCUGGUGACGCCUCAGAAACUUACAGUCAUGGGGGAAAUCAAAGGAGAAGCAGACACCUUCUAAAAGGGUGGCAGGACGGAGUGAGUGCAGCAGUGGAAAUGCCAGAUGCUUAUAAAACCAUCAGAUCUCAUAAGACUCAUUCAUCAUGAGAACAGCAUGGGGGG